GGGGCUCAGGACGAACGCUGGCGGCGCGCCUAACACAUGCAAGUCGAACGAGCGAGAGAGAGCUUGCUUUCUCGAGCGAGUGGCGAACGGGUGAGUAACGCGUGAGGAACCUGCCUCAAAGAGGGGGACAACAGUUGGAAACGACUGCUAAUACCGCAUAAGCCCACGGUGCCGCAUGGCACAGAGGGAAAAGGAGCAAUCCGCUUUGAGAUGGCCUCGCGUCCGAUUAGCUAGUUGGUGAGGUAACGGCCCACCAAGGCGACGAUCGGUAGCCGGACUGAGAGGUUGAACGGCCACAUUGGGACUGAGACACGGCCCAGACUCCUACGGGAGGCAGCAGUGGGGAAUAUUGCACAAUGGGGGAAACCCUGAUGCAGCGACGCCGCGUGGAGGAAGAAGGUCUUCGGAUUGUAAACUCCUGUUGUUGAGGAAGAUAAUGACGGUACUCAACAAGGAAGUGACGGCUAACUACGUGCCAGCAGCCGCGGUAAAACGUAGGUCACAAGCGUUGUCCGGAAUUACUGGGUGUAAAGGGAGCGCAGGCGGGAAGACAAGUUGGAAGUGAAAUCCAUGGGCUCAACCCAUGAACUGCUUUCAAAACUGUUUUUCUUGAGUAGUGCAGAGGUAGGCGGAAUUCCCGGUGUAGCGGUGGAAUGCGUAGAUAUCGGGAGGAACACCAGUGGCGAAGGCGGCCUACUGGGCACCAACUGACGCUGAGGCUCGAAAGUGUGGGUAGCAAACAGGAUUAGAUACCCUGGUAGUCCACACUGUAAACGAUGAUUACUAGGUGUUGGAGGAUUGACCCCUUCAGUGCCGCAGUUAACACAAUAAGUAAUCCACCUGGGGAGUACGACCGCAAGGUUGAAACUCAAAGGAAUUGACGGGGGCCCGCACAAGCAGUGGAGUAUGUGGUUUAAUUCGACGCAACGCGAAGAACCUUACCAAGUCUUGACAUCCUGCGACGCACAUAGAAAUAUGUGUUUCCUUCGGGACGCAGAGACAGGUGGUGCAUGGUUGUCGUCAGCUCGUGUCGUGAGAUGUUGGGUUAAGUCCCGCAACGAGCGCAACCCUUAUGGUCAGUUACUACGCAAGAGGACUCUGGCCAGACUGCCGUUGACAAAACGGAGGAAGGUGGGGAUGACGUCAAAUCAUCAUGCCCUUUAUGACUUGGGCUACACACGUACUACAAUGGCGUUAAACAAAGAGAAGCAAGACCGCGAGGUGGAGCAAAACUCAGAAACAACGUCCCAGUUCGGACUGCAGGCUGCAACUCGCCUGCACGAAGUCGGAAUUGCUAGUAAUCGCAGAUCAGCAUGCUGCGGUGAAUACGUUCCCGGG
rnacentral:rRNA from 1 species